GCAGGUUUGCGCAUGCGUACAAAAUUUGAAUUUCGCCGCCUUUUACUGCACUUGAGACUACGGAGUUUGCAACUUUGGGUUUCGGGCGAUGUUAGCAUUGAUGACUAACUUACAUAUGUUAAGGUAUCAAUGAUGUUAGUCAACUCACAGACAACAGUUAUUAGAAUGUUGUUAGAAUUGUUUGCUGACUGGGCUUGGGAGGGAUAAAAGUCGACAAAUACUGGUACUGCAAUACCGUGAGAUGAUGAUCAAAGGAUACUACAGUACGAUACUAGGCCUAUUACCUAUGAAUCCCGCUUCCACAUCAACAAUUGAGAUGCCCUUUUUUGUCCUGAUGUUGGGCUUUUGGAUACAGGCUUAUUUUUGCUGCAGUUAUAGGAUAACGUUACACGUAAACUGCAAAUGAGGGAUGAACAGACCAGUGCCUCUGGAAUACAUUAACAGAUUAUUUGCAGAAUCUGGUGUACAUCCCACAGAGAAAUUAAAAGGACAAGAUUACAACUUGGGUUUGGGGCAUUCAUAGCCAGAUAUUAUCUUUCACAAAUCAGUUAAAUAUGUUUGAACUCUUGUCCUACAGUUUAUCCAUAAUCCAGAUGCCUUGUAAUUUGGGUUAGGCUCCAUGUUACACAUUACUUUUGGUCAAUUUUUCACUUUAUGAAUACUGUUGGUGUUACUAUGUGGUCCCUGUUUUUCAUUGUAAUAUGCCUAUCAAAAUAAUUUUUACAAUUUACUUCAAUUGGUUAUUUUAUUCUCUUAUAUUUGAUUAGCAAAUUUAUGUCACAAGGAAGAAUAAUAUUUAUUAAUGUUUAUGUGAACUGAAUCUGAUUCUGAAAUUAUCUUGAAAAUGUAGAAAUCCAGCUCAAGCACCAAUUUUUGCAAUGAAACUAUCUAAAAGUCUGUGUAUGUAAAAAAAAAUGCCUUGAAAAGUCAAUAUUGCUUUACAAAUUAAUACCCCUUCAUGAAAAGUUUCAAUAUAUUAUUGUUUUAUAAAUUUGGGAUGGUUACUCAAUGGCCAGAAAUAUUUAAAAAACGGCCUUUUUUGAAUAUUUUCGCUUUGUAUUUAUUUGCAUAAUAUGUUUGUUAUAUUAUUAAUCAAAAUCCUAUUUAUUUUAAAUGGAAACGUUUAGUUUUCAAAAUACAGUCAUUUCGAAUAUAUGAUAUUUUGAACUAACUUCAGUGAUUCUAAAUUUUUCAUAUUCUUUGGUAACUAGUUUCGUUCAAGAAAUUGAAUUUUAUUCUGACAUGCUUAUAAUGAACUGAAUUUUUUAUAUUAGUAAGAACUUGGUACCACCGUUUCUAUGCCUUUGCCAGUGAUUGAAGACUGUUUUGAUUUGAUUUUUUGGAUGUUUUGGCUUUUAGUGAAGUUGAAGUGUUUUGGAAGUAUUCAAAUUUUUUUAUGUUUCACAUUAAGAAUUUGGUAAUUUUUAUCCAAAGCGAAUCGAAAUUACAGUCUCAUUACUGAAUUUUGCCAAUUACAAUAACGCCCACGUUCUACACCUUCACUCCCAACAAGGGCUUUAUACAAGCAGCCACCGAUAUGAAAUAUAAGACAAAUUAUUAGAACCCCAAUUAUUUUACUAUGGCCAAUCCACAUUCACACUGCAAGUAUGUAGAUCAACCUAGAAACGCAUAUCCAUUACAACAGCUUCGACUCACGAGAUACAUAUUGCAUUUAUUAUCGGAAUAAAUUUUUUGGUUGAAUUCA